rnacentral:sRNA from 1 species
ACAUCCUCAGGCGUGGUGCGUUGUGUUUUGUUGCGAGAGUGCACGAAGUUGGAAUAUACAUACACGCUUUACGUUUGUACGUUCGCUGAGUUCUUCCAAAAAACGCAGCUGCUAAUUUACUUAACUUCAAUUAAGUUUAAAUAACUCAAGAUGUGCAAAUGCUUAGCCGGAAACGUUGCAUGCUGCUGCUUCAGCUGCGCACUUAGCAUGCUGCUGUCGAUAAUCAGUGCAUUCUUUGUGGUCAUUGUUAUUGUUGGAUUGCUGGUGUAUUUCUUUUACUACCAUGAGCAGGAUGAUCAUGAUGUCAACAAGAUUAAAAAUGACCUUCAAGACGGGUUUAAAAACACGUACGACAAGAUUAAAAAUGGCCUAAAUUAAUAAUUUAAGAGUGCCAAGCAGUUUUAAAAAUGGCCUUCAAUAAUCAAACUUUUACGGAAUGUGUUUCCUUUUCAAACCGACCACCAUAAUGACCUAAAAACGCAGUUCAAACACAACAUUACGAGUCGAUUGAUGUAGUUUUUGCUUUGAAGUCGUCGACAACAAAUGAACAUUACUUUUAAGCUUUGAUAAAUAUUUAUAAAAAUAUAUGA